UAGGUGAGAGUUUAAAUGUCAAGGCCUUA
rnacentral:piRNA from 1 species